rnacentral:rRNA from 1 species
CAUUAAAGAAUCGCCCCGUUUUUUGAAAUGGGUUCUAUUCCCAAACCGUGUAUACAUACCUUUGUUGCUUUGGCAGGCCGCCUUUUAGGCGUCGGCUCUGGCUGACUGCGCCUGCCAGAGGACCCAAACUCUUUUGUUUAGUGAUGUCUGAGUACUAUAUAAUAGUUAAAACUUUCAACAACGGAUCUCUUGGUUCUGGCAUCGAUGAAGAACGCAGCGAAAUGCGAUAAGUAAUGUGAAUUGCAGAAUUCAGUGAAUCAUCGAAUCUUUGAACGCACAUUGCGCCCCUUGGUAUUCCGAGGGGCAUGCCUGUUCGAGCGUCAUUAUAACCACUCAAGCCUCGGCUUGGUCUUGGGGUUCGCGGUUUCGCGGCCCUUAAAAUCAGUGGCGGUGCCGUCUGGCUCUAAGCGUAGUAAUUCUCUCGCUAUAGGGUCCAGGUGACCACCUGCCAUAACUCCCCCAUUCUUUACGGUUGACCUCGGAUCAGGUAGGGAUACCCGCUGAACUUAAGCAUAUCAAUAAGCGGAGGAA